rnacentral:rRNA from 1 species
UACGGAGGGGCUAGCGUUGUCCGGAAUUAUUGGGCGUAAAGAGCUCGUAGGCGGUGUGUCGCGUCGGCCGUGAAAACCUGCAGCUUAACUGUGGGCUUGCGGUCGAUACGGGCAUCACUGGAGUUCGGCAGGGGAGACUGGAAUUCCUGGUGUAGCGGUGAAAUGCGCAGAUAUCAGGAGGAACACCGGUGGCGAAGGCGGGUCUCUGGGCCGAUACUGACGCUGAGGAGCGAAAGCGUGGGGAGCGAACAGG